rnacentral:rRNA from 1 species
AUGAUGGGGAUUCGAGUCAACAAGCUUUCAUGGAAAGUAAUCUCCCAGAUUGCUUACAUAUUGGGAAUUCUUGUUAAUAUGGACUGCCAUGAAAUCUUCAGAAGGUUUUAUGAAAAAGUUAAAGUGCAGAUUGUUGUGAGAGAUGUUUCCAAGAUUCCAACUGAAAGGCUAGUAGAGAUUGACAAGGAGCUCUUCCUCAUUUAUUUCCUGGUUGACACAUCACCAAAUUUGGAAGCUGCUGCCCACAGUGAUGAAGGAUCACGAAAAUCAGAUGAAGAUUUGCUGGAAGGAGAUCCAAACAAAGAUCUACAAAUGCAUGGACCUAAGGACAUGGAGACUGAUAGGGAUAAGAACAAAAAAGGAUCUGCUAAAGGCCCUGCUCAAAACCCCCAAAACUCUCAGAAAGCCCCAUCACACUCAAAAACCCCUAUGGAGGUGAUGAACUCUCUGGAAAAAAGGGUGCAGAGUGUGAUACAGGUUAUGAAGAGUGGUGGAGUUAUAAAAAAAGCAUUAAAAGGAAUUUGCCUAGAGAGAACAUUGGUGUCCAGUUGGUUGAGCAAUUCAAUGAGGAAUCUGAUGAAGAGGAAGUAG